rnacentral:lncRNA from 1 species
AGCCCGGGGGUGCAGAUCCGGCCUGGGCCGGACCACCUUCACCCCUUUGGGGAGCGUGGGGAACGGAGUUCGCUGUACUUUUUCUUGGAGGCGUGGAGGAGUUGUCAGGCCUGGGCCCCUGACCUGGGAUCCACCUUGGGAUUUUCCUGGCAGGGCUCGUGGAUAUUUUCCUUCCACCAUCAGCAUUGAGUACAGCCUAGCGUGGCAUGGCUUCUCUUUUAAACGCGCUGGGAGCAUCCGAAGUGAAUAUUCAUUGAGAAUCUGUACACCAGACACCUGUGUAAACGAGGGAUCCAUUCAAGAACAACCACAAAAACCUCUGCCUCCUGGUUGCAUGCGUGAACUCACAGCAUGUACACACAACAGUGAGCAAACCCAAACCCGACUAAGUCCCAGCAUAGAGUGGGAAGGUGGGACCGAAGUUCUGCACCUGACUGAGGAGCUACUGGUAUUUGAUAACCAAUGGGAGAGGGAAAGUCAGUUUUCUUUAAAUGAUUUGACAAUGAAGGGACCGGCUCCCCUUUUGGCAGUCAUAGCGGCGGAACACGUGCUUGUAUGACCUUGUCCUGGACACUAGAAAGUCAGAUGCCUGCCUCGUGACAAGGAACCAAUCAGAAGUUAGCUGUGGCGCUAUGCUUUACGACCCUGGGUGUACUUUAUGGACAAGCACACAGCAAGCAAUGACGCAAAGCAUAGCAACCACCCUGGGAGGGCCUUUGGGCCAUAACAACCAAUUGGCCAAUCAACACAGGGCAAUCCCUCCAAGGCUGGAGGCAUACCAAUAGUGAGCCUGUGUGUACCCCUAGACACUCCCCUUACGCUGCCCUAUAAGAUCUCAGUCCUGUGGCUUCUCAGAGUCUUUGCUAGCCAUCCGCCAUGGCGGGUGGGUGAAAGACCCGAGCUAACAUGGGGUUAGCUUGUUAAAUUACAAUAAAGCCUCAUGCUGUUUGCAGCAAGCUCUCGAAUCCGCCUGGU